ensembl:lncRNA
CAAAGCUGCAACUGAGAGACCUGACAGCCAGUUCCGGCCACCCGGCAGGUAACUGGCACCUGAGGUAAAAUAAUGGCCAGGCACUGGUGGCGGCUUUCCCCUCUCCUGUGGGCCCAGCCGGAGGGGAAGGGGACCCUCAGCCAGGCUCAGGGCUGCCACAGAGGUCCUCUGACACAUCUGGCCACAGGUCCACUGCAUUAUUUCAGGGUCACCUGGGCCAUUCCCUGCCUUCAGGAAGGAUCUGCCUGAGCCUGGAAAGAAACGAUCUUCCCAGCGCUUCAGGACCCGGAUGCCACCUCCCUGCUGGGCGCUGUCAGUGCCUGGGGCCUUCUUGCUGGCAACUCCACAGAUGGCGGAUUGGAACCAGUCUGGAUCCUGCUAAUUCCUCAGCAUCUCUUCCUGCACAGAUUUUAAAUGGUCAAACUCUGUUUUUGUUUUGGUUUCUUCCAGAUUUCAUCCUCAUCUCAAGCCAAAGAAAGGGACCAGCCCAAGGCCCUCCUACUACUUACACAGUGCGCCGAGGCCCCUGUGAAUUCUUAGAGCCCUUGCUGUUGGCAUUGCUCUCCGUGACAUCUCAUCAGACCCUCUUUGGUGAGCCAGACUCAUGAGAACUGAUUCUGCUGCCGAAAAGCUGUGUGAAAUUGACCCUCUGCCAGUCUCUAAAAGGAAGGGGCUAGACAACGCCUCUGGGCCUUUCAGUUCUGAGGUUUUAUGUGUGUAGACUUUUUCCUUCUUAUCUAAACUUUAUGUUUUGUUUUGUUUUGUUUUUAAGAGAGGGAGGGAGAGAGAAGGAGGGGGAGGGGCAGAGGGAGAAGGAAAGAGAGAAUCUUAAGCAGGCUCCAUACCCAGUGCAGGAGGGCCCAAUACGAGGCUCAGUCUCACAACCCUGAGAUCAUGACCUGAGCCAAAAUCAAGAGUCAGAUGCUUAACUGACUGACCCAGAUGCCCCUAAACUUAAUGCUUUUAAUUCCCAUCACAACUUAGAGCAUAGUGCCAGGCUCACAGAGACCCUAUAAAUGUAUUUCUGGAUUGGUAACUGAAUAACAGGUUUGUCCUACUGAUAUGGUAAAGUGGUUUUUCACUUUGGUUUUUUUUUUUAAUUUAUUUUUUUCAUUUAUUUUAUUUUAUUUUAUUGUUUUCAUCAUAAGUGUAGUCUUUAAUCCCAUCACCUAUUUCACCUAUCCCCCCACCCACCUUCCCUCUGGUAACCAUAGGUUCGCACUCUAUAGUUAAGAGUCUUGUUUCUUGGUUUGUCUCUUUUUUCUUUGCUUGUUUUGUUUCUUAAAUUCUACAUAAGAGUGAAAUCAUAUGGUAUUUGUCUUCUUCUGACUUACUUCCCUUAGCAUUAUACACUCUAGCUCUAUCCAUGUUGUUGCAAAUGGCAAGAUUGCAUUCUUUUUUACAGCUGAACAGUAUUCCAUUAUAUAAACAUAUACCACGUCUUCUUUAUCCAUUCACCUAUCAAUGGAUAUUUGGGCUGCUUCCAAGUUUGGCUAUUGUAAAUAAUGUUACAAUAAACAUAGGGAUGCAUGUAUCCCUUUGAAUUAA